AUACUUCCCUGGCAGGGGAGACACCAUGAUCACCCAGGUGGUUCUCCCAAGGCGAGGCUCACCCAUUGCACUGCAGGUGUGCUGACCCCUGCGAUUUCCACGCGUGCGGGAAAUUUCAUAAUUUGUGGUAGUGGAGACUGUGUUAAGACUCUCCCCUAA
ensembl:snRNA U1 U1 spliceosomal RNA